rnacentral:rRNA from 1 species
UUAACACAUGCAAGUCGAACGGCAGCACAGCCGGGUAACCGGUGGGUGGCGAGUGGCGGACGGGUGAGUAAUGCGUACGAAUCUGCCUUGUAGUGGGGGAUAACUCGGGGAAACUCGGGCUAAUACCGCAUACGCUCUACGGAGGAAAGCGGGGGAUCUUCGGACCUCGCGCUAUGAGAUGAGCCUACGUCCGAUUAGCUAGUUGGCAGGGUAAUGGCCUACCAAGGCGACGAUCGGUAGCUGGUCUGAGAGGACGAUCACCCACACUGGAACUGAGACACGGUCCAGACUCCUACGGGAGGCAGCAGUGGGGAAUAUUGGACAAUGGGCGCAAGCCUGAUCCANNNAUGCCNCGUGUGUGAAGAANGNCUGCGGGUUGUAAAGCACUUUAANCANGGAAGAAAGGUGGGGGGUUAAUACCCUCUCACAUUGACGUUACCUGCAGAAUAAGCACCGGCUAACUCCGUGCCAGCAGCCGCG